UACAGAGGGUGCGAGCGUUAAUCGGAAUUACUGGGCGUAAAGCGCGCGUAGGCGGCUUUGUAAGUCGGAUGUGAAAUCCCCGGGCUUAACCUGGGAACUGCAUUCGAGACUGCAUAGCUAGAGUAUGGGAGAGGGAAGUGGAAUUUCAGGUGUAGCGGUGAAAUGCGUAGAUAUCGGAAGGAACAUCAGUGGCGAAAGCGACUUCCUGGACCAAUACUGACGCUCAUGUGCGAAAGCGUGGGGAGCAAACAGG
rnacentral:rRNA from 1 species